UAGUUUCUGUGUUGUCUCUUAAGGAGAGCUUUUUGUAGGCAAUCGGGAGAGCUAACUAAUAUUAAAUAUGUUUAUAACUUAUGUUUUUUGAUCUUGGUUUUUCAGGUUGUUGAUAAGGUGAUGAUGAUAUAAAAAACAAAUGUUGAUCUCUGGUGUGUUGGGCUAGAAAGUGGCCUUUUAAUAUUGAAUAGAAGAAUUAUAAUGCAAAUCAAUAAAUUUCAGCUGCUGGUGGUGAAAAAAAAUGCUGAUGGAAAAAAAAUUGCCGAUUUAUGGUGUGAUAGAAUCGGGCGAUUGCUAUGUAAGAAGGGGCAAAAGAAUAGUUAUUUUCGUCCUCCAAUUUAUAUUUGGCUAUAAAAUGUAUACUUAGAUGAAAAGUUUUGUAUACUUAGAUUCUUCAUGUUCACUCUACCAGUUUAAACUACCAAUUCCUAAUAGAUAAUUUACAGAAGAUAUGGACAACAGAUUAUUGAGAGAGGAAAUAGAAUGUGACAUUGAUACUCUCGGGUGUAAGCAUUCAAAAUUAUUUAGUGGUUUAAAUGAUGAACAACUAACAAUUUAUCGUACGGUAAAACGCAGCGGAAAAAGAAAUCAAAUAAAUUUGAUUUUUCAAAACUCUCAAGAUCCAAUCUCAAAAAUCACGCAAUUAGGAUCCCUCAUACUCUUUAAGAUUAAAAGAGAAAAGUAAGAUCGAAUUUUUACCUUUUUCGCGGAUAGAUCUUCACCUCAAUUUGAUGAUCAUGAAAUUCGGUUCUCUUGAAGCCGCACACGCGUCCGGCCUCUAUAGUUAUCCACACAAGGUUCUUGAUUUGAUCGAUGUACUCAUCGGGGUGCUAGCUUCCUUGCAAAAGGCUAUUUGCUAGAAGAUGGAAAGAGAGGAGAGGAGAGAUGACCGCCAGGAUUUUCUAAAAACUUCCGUAUAUUAUAUAGAGGAAUAUAAUCCUUUUUCUAAUAAUAUAAUCACAAUUAACGAUAAGUACAAAUCUAUAUUUAAAUUUAUUCUUUUCUUAAUUGAUUAGAUUGAUCAAAUCCUAAUUUGAUUCGAUCUUUAUAUUAAUUUCAUCAUAUCAAAUUAAUAAUGCAACAUUUGCAUAUAAGUCCUCUUAUAAUUUACUAACUAUUAGUAAGUCCUCUCUUGUAACAUUUACACUUUAAUACCAUUAAUUUGUAAUAAUUACAAAUUAGUCCAAUUAUCAACAUAUUGACAAUUAGGUCCUCCGACGAUUCAAUAAUCGCGAUCUAGCUAUCCGAUCAAUAACCUCUUAUGUGUGUGACCCCAUAGGUUCUAUUCUAUCUGGUAGUGAGAUAUAUUUUGAUGAUCACUAUCAACAAUAUCACUGAAACUCCUUUCAGUGGAUCGAAACAAUUCCAACUCAGCCCAAUGAGAAUUAUCGAUCAUCUAGAUAAUUCUCAUGAGUCUCACAAUCCACCAGUGACGCCUAGCAGCAUGUAGUGGCAUUCCAGUAGAAUGGAAUACUGAACCUCUUGGUGCAGUUACCGUGUGAUACAAUCCUUCUAUCAUGAGUCCCGACUAGACGGAGGUUAUGGAAUAACUCGUCAAACCCCAUCGUCUGUCAUAUGUUAAAUUUAUUCGACUCGAGUUUCUAAUAUCGGAAACCCUUUUCCG
rnacentral:lncRNA from 1 species